rnacentral:rRNA from 1 species
UACGUAGGGAGCAAGCGUUGUCCGGAAUCAUUGGGCGUAAAGCGCGCGUAGGUGGCUCCAUAAGUCCGUUGUGAAAGUCAAAGGCUCAACCUUUGAAAGCCGAUGGAUACUGUGGAGCUAGAGUACGGAAGAGGCGAGUGGAAUUCCUGGUGUAGCGGUGGAAUGCGCAGAGAUCGGGAGGAACACCAGUGGCGAAAGCGGCUCUCUGGUCCAAAACUGACGCUGAGGGGCGAAAGCGUGGGGAGCGAACGGG